UACCGCAUAACACCUACGGGUCAAAGGAGCAAUUCGCUUAAGGAGGGGGUCGCGGUCGAUUAGUUAGUUGGCGGGGUAAAGGCCCACCAAGACAGUGAUCGAUAUCCGGCCUGAGAGGGCGCACGGACACAUUGGAACUGAAACACGGUCCAAACUCCUACGGGAGGCAGCAGUGGGGAAUUUUGCGCAAUGGGGGAAACCCUGACGCAGCAACGCCGCGUGGAGGAUGAAGUCCUUCGGGACGUAAACUCCUUUCGAUCGGGACGAUAAUGACGGUACCGGAAGAAGAAGCCCCGGCUAACUUCGUGCCAGCAGCCGCGGUAAUACGAGGGGGGCGAGCGUUGUUCGGAAUUAUUGGGCGUAAAGGGUGCGUAGGCGGUUUGGUAAGUUUCGUGUGAAAACUACGGGCUCAACUCGUAGCCUGCACGAAAAACUGCCGGGCUUGAGUAUGGGAGAGGUGAGUGGAAUUCCUGGUGUAGCGGUGAAAUGCGUAGAUAUCAGGAGGAACACCUGUGGCGAAAGCGGCUCACUGGACCAUAACUGACGCUGAGGUACGAAAGCUAGGGGAGCAAACAGGAUUAGAUACCCUGGUAGUCCUAGCCCUAAACGAUGACUGCUUGGUGUGGGAGGUACCCAAUCCUUCCGUGCCGUAGCUAACGCGUUAAGCAGUCCGCC
rnacentral:rRNA from 1 species